UAAAUUUAUCAAGUACGUAUUAGUUUGAGAUUUUUCUUAAUUAAAAAUAUAAUUUGUGGUACUAGCUUGAAGAUUUUCAGGAUAUUAGCUUUUAAAAAAAUAAAAUAAAAGUAGAGUAUUUUUUCCAGAUAAAAUUAAAAAAAAAAAUCGAGGCAAAAUCUGUAAGAUCCAAUCAAUCGAAGACAUCGUGAGAAUCCGGAUGCUCCUUCGGCGAGGCUUUCUCUCGUGUACUUCCAGCGCGGUUGCGUCAGAAACCGCCUGAAAACUUGAUUCGAACCUCUGACGAGAAUCCCUCCUCCGGAUCUGAGGGGGAUGGAUUCUAGCGAUUUCGCAGGAAAUAUCAAGCCGCGGUCGGUCACCUUGUGCGUUUGCUGUUGAGUUUGCCAAGCUCGAUAGCAACCUGAAUUUGUGCUCCACCGUCGCUGCUCGACAGGGCUUCAGCAACAAAUUCCUCCAUCCCUCUCUCUCUCAAUCUAGCGGCCAUGGACGGGAGUUUAAAGCUCGGGCCACCAUGACCAUGAGCUCGAAGCUCAAGUGGCCAUUGCCACGACCUUGAGGCCGAGCUCGAACCUCGAGUGGCCAAAACUACCCCAAGUCCUGGGUUCGAGGUCGUGCUCCAUGGCCAAAGUGGCCAUGAGCCUUGAGCUCGAACUCGAGCCAUGGCAGACGCAGGGGGAAGAAAAGAGAAGUAGAGAGGAAGAGAGAGAGAGAGAGAGAGUCACGGUCAGUAAACAGAGGGGCGGAGAGAGAGAGAGCAACGAUGAGAGAGAGUGGAGGCAUUAAUUGACAAGUGGGAAAAGAUAAGUAGAGAGGAGCAGAGGGAAAGAGUCGUCAAUAAUGGGGGAGAUGGGGGCGUCGGAAGGUCUGAUGUGAUGGGAUCCGGGCAACACAUGUCGCACAACGAUAAAUGGACUCGUAAUAUUUUCUCCGGCCCUUUGAGGCUUUUUCUCGUGUACUUCCAACGUGGUUGCGUCAGAAACUGCCGGAAAGCUUGAUUCGGACCUCUGACGAGAAUCCCUCCUCCGGAUCUGCCGUCGUUUCAAGAAGGGUGAAAGUUCGAAGCUGCCCCGCGAUACGGUCGAUGCUUUCCAGAAAGAAAGCAACGAUCAGAUCCGCUCCAACCGUAGUUCGAUGCUGUGGCUCUGUCGGGAACCGUGAUGUCUCCGUUCUCGAACCGGGGUGCGAUUGUCUGCGAUUUGUAUCUGAUGUCUCCGUCCUCUUGUAAUCAUCGC
rnacentral:lncRNA from 1 species